rnacentral:rRNA from 1 species
AAUAGAUACCCAGGUAGUCCACCCCGUAAACGUUGGGAACUAGUUGUGGGGACCAUUCCACGGUUUCCGUGACGCAGCUAACGCAUUAAGUUCCCCGCCUGGGGAGUACGGCCGCAAGGCUAAAACUCAAAGGAAUUGACGGGGACCCGCACAAGCGGCGAAGCAUGCGGAUUAAUUCGAUGCAACGCGAAGAACCUUACCAAGGCUUGACAUAUACGAGAACGGGCCAGAAAUGGUCAACUCUUUGGACACUCGUAAACAGGUGGUGCAUGGUUGUCGUCAGCUCGUGUCGUGAGAUGUUGGGUUAAGUCCCGCAACGAGCGCAACCCUCGUUCUAUGUUGCCAGCACGUAAUGGUGGGAACUCAUGGGAUACUGCCGGGGUCAACUCGGAGGAAGGUGGGGAUGACGUCAAAUCAUCAUGCCCCUUAUGUCUUGGGCUUCACGCAUGCUACAAUGGCCGGUACAAAGGGCUGCAAUACCGUAAGGUGGAGCGAAUCCCAAAAAGCCGGUCCCAGUUCGGAUUGAGGUCUGCAACUCGACCUCA